AAUAAUUUUAAAAAAAUAAAAAACAAAGAGUAAGUAUCCUAAACUACUCCCACGAUCUGCAUUCCCUAACCCCCUCACUUACCCUAUUCUUCACAUCUCCCCUCAAAAAGCUCCCCCACCAGCCUCGCAUCCCUAACGUCCCAAUCCCCACUUCCCCACUUCCUUACAUAAGUUAUAAAACACACCCACACAUCUAUAUAACGGAGAUUAACAUAAGGGAGGAGGAGAUCGGAGAGUAAGUUGAAACUUGAGAGUUUGGUGAGUAGUAUUUUGUGGGUAAAAUUGUUUAGAGAAAUAGUAGAACAAUUAGUUAGCUUUUACUGGGAUCUUUCUCUUUCAAAAUUUGCUGCUCCUCUGGGUUUCAAACCCCGUUUUUUUUUUGCUGUUGUUGCCUACUCAUUUUUCUGAGUUCGUUGCUGAUUAUUGCUGUUGUACCCUUCCAUCUCUACUAUCUAGAUGGCACCUAAAGCACCUAAAGAUCCUAAUGCAGUUAAAGUACGCAAAGCACAUAAUGCACCUAAAGCACUUAGACUACCUGUAAUACCCCCAAGUCCUUAUGUCCCUUCUCCUUCACCUACAAGACCAGGUCAAAGAUAUUUGAGUUUCGAGAUUGGUUUAACUCUAAGGGUUCCUGGAAGGGGAACCAUGAUUUGAAGAAACUAAUUGCAACUUUCUUGACUCCUACACAACGGGAUAAGCUUCACAAUAGUACAUUUCGAUACAUUAUGCUAUGGAGAAUUUCAAAUGCAGCAUGAAGUUGGUUCAUUGUCUGUGUCUUUCUUGAAUAUUCACGAAUGAUCGAGAUUCGAUUAGUUUCAAGAUUUUUGGCCAUGAUGUUUCCUUCACCCUUGAAGACUUUCACAUUAUGUGUGGUUUUCAGAUCACAUCACAUAAUGUUGAAAAGCCAAUUAAUCGAGAGAGCAAUAUUCUGAAGCGCUAUUUUGGUAAGUCCAAGGGUGUGACUUUGAAGGAUAUUCGAGAUUUUAUGACUCGGAAUAAAAUUUCAAAGAAUGUUGUGAAUCACAUACACGUAUGCGAGAGCGAUGAUGAUGUUGUGAAGCUUGUGGAAAUUCUUGUUGUAGAGUCUAUUUUGUUUGGGAAAAAGACCGAGUCAUAUGUGAUGGAGGAGUAUGCAUCUAUUGUUGAAGAUAAUAAGGUUUGUGUUGAAUAUCCUUGGGGUAAUGUGGCUUAUGAGAAGCUCAUUUACUCACUAAAACAUGCAUUGGACAAGCAGAACAAAUUCCAUGCAACUGAGUAUAAACUUGGUGGAUUUUCUUUUCCGUUAUGUGCUUGGUUCUAUGAGCGCUUUCAGAUAUUUGGGAGAAGUAUAUAAGAGAGGAUGAGUACCUUGAUACCCCUCAGGUUCCCAGGAUGUUACGUUAUGUAUGUGUGGGAGAGCCUAAAUUUCCCGAACUUUUUGAGAUGUUCAGUAGUCAUGAAAAAUAUCGCAGCUUUAGGGUAUUGGAUAUAUAUCCUACAGAAGAGGAAUUGAAUUCAAUGCCUUUAAUUGGCCAAUUACUAUGCAGCCAGAUUCGUUCAAAGGUACUUAACGUGAGUCCUUCAACUGGUGAAUCACCAUGUACUCUGAGUUGAUCAAAAGAAUCGAAUCGAACUCCUGUUAUUGGUGAAUCACCACGUAGUCAGAGUCGAUGAAAAGAAGCGAAUCGAACUCCUUUUAUUGGCGAAUCAUUUCGUACUCAAAAUCGUUCUUACCGUUCUACAAGUGACUUUGAUGACAAUGAAUUACUCGACACAAUAUGUUCUAGAUUAACGAUGGAGGUUCAAAGGCAUGCAGAAAAAGAAAGAAGCACAAUCGUGAAAGAAGUUUUUGAUAAGUUUAAAAAGGAGGAGCGAUUUGCUUUUGUUGAUGCGGUUUUUGUAAAAAUGAAGGAAUAUUUUGAUGAGAAGUUUGAACAGUUGUUUAAGAUUGUCAACAAAUCAAAUGGAAUGGAUGAUGACAUUUUUGAUUUGAGUAACCAUUGAGAAUAUGAUAGGGGGAACGACUGUUACGAACAUCCAUCGGAUAUUAAUGUUGUUGAUGAUGCAUUAGAUAAAGUCGUAGAUGUAAAUGCUACACGUGAGGAAAUGACUUUUGUAGGCAAUCAACAUGUUCAAGAACAAUUUGAAGAGGAACGUCCCAGUGCUGAUAGAUUGAGCAGAGAUGGAAAUGAUGAAGCACAGUAUCAACUGAGAAUAUUGGAAGCAAGCAAGGUGCAUAUAAUCAAGUUGUUGAGACUGAAGAACAUAAUGCUCAUGAUGUAUUGUGUAAAAUCGUAGAUGAUAAUGCUACACAUAAGGAAGUGGCUGCUGAAGUCGGUGAACAUGUUCAACAACAAGGUAUAGAGGAACAAUCCAGUGUUUGUAUAUAGAGCAAAGAUGGAAAUGAUGAAGAGUUAAUAACUGAGAAAGGUUCAGAUGAUCAAGUUGUUGGCACUGAAAAACAUGCACCGAGUUGUCCUUUGGAAAGUGAUAUUGGAAAAGAAAAUUUGUUUGGCAAUGGAGAUCAAGCAACUGUUUGUACUUUAGAACUGAAAGCGAGUGAUGUGUCUAGUACUAUUGGGAAAAACGAUCGGUAUGCAGGAUUACUAGCUAUUUGCAAAGAACUUCUAGGUGGUGAUACACAGGAAAUUGUUACUACAGUGGAAGUUGAGGCUAGUUGUGCUUCAAUUGACACAACUCAAAAACUCUCUGAUGAUGCUGAAUUGAAUGAAGAGGCAUUGACAAAGGCAUGCAGCCUGGGGAAACCACGGCGGAAGACAAACGUCAAGAAAGACUCGAGGCAGCUCAAAAAGAAUUUGGUGAGCUUAUGCAGCUAUAUGAAAAAGGAGAAAUACAUAUAUUCACACUUGUUGCAUCACAGAGAGGUGUGAAGUGUGUUGAUAUUAUUUUAUAAAAUUUAGUCAGUAUUAUUAUUAUUUUUUUGCAUGAAGAUACAGGAUCUGUUGGAAUGUAAACACCAUCUGUGUCGCAACACUUAGACCAGAUCUCAUCUGAUGCAUCAGAACUUCUUCCAAAACCUAAGAGAAGGAAGAUUUCCAGUUCUCCUAUGUGUGACACCAGUGAUAUCCUCAACUUCAAUUUAUGUUCAUUUUCACUUGGUAGUACACAAGGGACUAAUUCAGAAGGUAAUUCUGCUGCUGUUGUUGUUCGUGAAGAGACACAAGAACGUCGUGAACAGCAGGGAGUUGAUCAAGCAUCUGCCACGAUGGCUGUAGUUUUUCCCCUGCUGCUGAACAACAGCAGUUAGCUGUAACGGAACAGCAGGAAGAGCAAGCAAAAGAAAAACCAGAUAAAAAGGAAAAAAGAUUCGUAUGGAGAGUAUUUGGUUGAGAUCUCCUUAUGUAGUUUAUAAAAAAAAAAGCAAAGGGGGCAAGAUUCGAAAGUAGGAAAGAAUACAAGAAGGUGUCCCUUCCAUUAUGUUAAUCAAGACAGUGGAUUGAUCGAAAGAUUUACAGAGUGGUUGGAGAAGGAUGCCAGUGAAUAUGAUUCCAAUCGAUUCAGAUUAGCUGGAUUUGAUAUUGCAAAAUCAUUCUUUACCGAGCUUAUGGAUCCUGACUCUGAUCUUGCGGAUGAACAUAUUGAUGUGGGCAUUUAUUACUUGCGCAAAAAAUAUUGCUAUCACCUUCCACGUUAUCCAAAAUCAAGAUGUGCAGUAACAGAUUUAGUUUUUGAUCAGUAUAUGACUAAGUUGGAUGGUAUUCAUCCUUUAGAAGAAAAGAUGAAGAUAAUUAACAAAAUGAAGCAAAAGAGAAUGCAGGAUCAA